UACGGAGGGUGCGAGCGUUGUCCGGAAUCACUGGGUGUAAAGGGCGCGUAGGCGGCCUGGCAAGUCGGUGGUGAAAGCCCGUGGCUCAACUACGGGUCGGCCACCGAUACUGCUAUGGCUCGAGUUUGGUAGAGGCAGAUGGAAUUCCGGGUGUAGCGGUGGAAUGCGUAGAGAUCCGGAAGAACACCGGUGGCGAAGGCGGUCUGCUGGGCCAAGACUGACGCUGAGGCGCGACAGCGUGGGGAGCAAACAGG
rnacentral:rRNA from 1 species